GGAUGCUAUCAUACCAGCACUAAAGCACCGGAUCCCAUCAGAACUCCGAAGUUAAGCGUGCUUGGGCGAGAGUAGUACUAGGAUGGGUGACCUCCUGGGAAGUCCUCGUGUUGCUUCCC
rnacentral:rRNA from 1 species